AUUGAACGCUGGCGGCGGGCCUAACACAUGCAAGUCGAACGAGUGGAGGAGGGGCGAGUAAUGUCUGGGAAACUGCCCGAUGGACGGGGAUAACUAGUGGAAAAGGUAGCUACAACUGCAUACCACCGGAUCGGCCGAGAUGGGCUUAGCUAGUAGGUGGGGUAACGGCUCACCAAGGCGGCGAUCCCUAGCUGGUCUGAGAGGUGGACCGGCCAAACUGGAACUGAGACACGGCCCAGACUCCUACGGGAGGCAGCAGUGGGGAAUAUUGCGCAAUGUGCGCAAGCCUGAUGCAGCCAUGCCGCGUGUAUGAAGAAGGCCUUCGGGUUGUAAAGUACUUUCAGCGGUGAGGCGUUACCCACAGAAGAAGCACCGGCUAACUCCGUGCCAGCAGCCGCGGUAAUAC
rnacentral:rRNA from 1 species